UAGAUAACCGCCUUAGUUCCU
rnacentral:miRNA from 1 species